rnacentral:lncRNA from 1 species
AUGGGCUUCCCCCCUCGGCAAAAGCCGCGCUCGCGGAGAGAAGGGCUGUCCGCAGCAGCACUGCCGCUCUCCAGCUACGCACGCAGGGAAGUCCGGAGAAAAUGGAGGCGGCAGAAUGGUUGCGUUCUCCCUCCCGAGCAGAAGCGCGGGCAGGGGGCCGACGCAAGCAGGUACUUACGAGGGAUCCCACGCCUGCGUGCAGCACCAGCUGAAGCCAAAGCAGCGCAAACAUAUCGCCGGCUAGAAAACGGCGGCGGGGCGGCAGCUCCGCCCACAAGAACGACUCGCAAGGCACAAUGGAGACAAAUGCCCCGCCUCGCUCGGACCUGGGCCAAGCGCUCGCGCCCCUCCGACCAGGUGACUGCUGGAGCUUCCGCUCCGCUUCCCCACCGCUGCGCCCCGUGGCAGGCUGAGGGAAGCUCAUCUUCGCGUGAGGCCUUGCCAG